rnacentral:rRNA from 1 species
GACGAACGCUGGCGGCGUGCUUAACACAUGCAAGUCGAACGAAGUGGCGGACGGGUGAGUAACGCGUAAUCAACCUGCCCUUCAGAGGGGGACAACAGGUGGAAACGACUGCUAAUACCGCAUACUGAAGGAGGGGAUUGCGUGUGAUUAGCUAGUGGGAGGGGUAAACGCCCACCAAGGCAAUGAUCAGUAGCCGGUCUGGGAGGGGGAACGGCCCAAUUGGGACUGAGACACGGCCCAGACUCCUUCGGGAGGCAGCAAUGGGGAAUCUUCCGCAAUGGACGAAAGUCUGAACGAGCAACGCCGCGGGAGUGAUGACGGCUUUCGGGUUGUAAAGCUUUUUUUAUCGGGACGCGGUACCGGAAUAGAAAGCCACGGCUAACUACGUGCCAGCAGCCGCGGUAAUUC